CCUACGGGAGGCAGCAGUGGGGAAUAUUGCACAAUGGGGGAAACCCUGAUCCAGCGAAGCCGCGUGAGUGAAGAAGUAUUUCGGUAUGUAAAGCUCUAUCAGCAGGGAAGAAAGACAUGACGGUACCUGACUAAGAAGCCCCGGCUAACUACGUGCCCGGAGCCGCGGUAAUACGUAGGUUGCAAUCGUUAUCCGGAUUUACUGGGUGUAAAGGGAGCGUAGACGGCGAUGCACGUCUGAAGUGAACGGCGGGGGCCCAACCCCAGGACUGCGUUGGAAACUGUAUGUCUGGAGUGCAGGAGAGGUAAGUGGAAUUACUGGUGUAGCGGUGAAAUGCGUAGAUAUUAGGAAGAACACCAGUGGCGAAGGCGGCUUACUGGACUGUAACUGACGUUGAGGCUCGAAAGCGUGGGGAGCAAACAGGAUUAGAUACCCGAGUAGUC
rnacentral:rRNA from 1 species